rnacentral:rRNA from 1 species
UACGUAGGGAGCAAGCGUUGUUCGGAUUUACUGGGCGUAAAGGGCGCGUAGGCGGUCAGGUCAGUCCCGUGUGAAAUCCCUCGGCUCAACUGAGGAACUGCACGGGAAACUGCCUGGCUUGAGUUCGGGAGAGGGAAGCGGAAUUCCGGGUGUAGCGGUGAAAUGCGUAGAUAUCCGGAGGAACACCGGUGGCGAAGGCGGCUUCCUGGACCGACACUGACGCUGAGGCGCGAAAGCUAGGGGAGCAAACAGG